GUCUGGGUGGUGUAGUUGGUUAUCACGCUAGUCUCACACACUAGAGGUCCCCAGCCNGUUCGAACCUAGGCUCAGACA